GCCGGAGUGGCGAAAUUGGUAUACGCGCGGGAUUCAAAAUCCCGUUGGCUUUGGUCAGUAAGGGUUCGAGUCCCUUCUCCGGCA
rnacentral:tRNA from 1 species